CUUGGUCAUUUAGAGGAAGUAAAAGUCGUAACAAGGUCUCCGUAGGUGAACCUGCGGAGGGAUCAUUCAUGAGUGGGCCGAAACGGCCUCUAUUCAUCAAGCCCGUGGACGAAGCCAGUGCUUUGGCGCUUUGGCGUCGAGCUUCAAAUGCUUUAUUGACCUAUUUGCGUCCGGGGAAAUAUUGAGACUCAAAACUUUCAACAAAGGAUCUCUUGGCUCUCACAUCGAUGAAGAACGCAGCGAAGCGCGAAAUGUAGUGUGACUCGUGAGACUAAGUGAAUCAUCGAAUCUUUGAACGCACAUUGCGCCUCCCGUAAAUGGGAGGCAUGCCUGUCUGAGCGUCGGUUUAAUCCAAUAAAUCCAAGAGAUUUGUCUUGGGCUUCGCCCUUGGGCGUCGCCUAGAAGCCAGCGGCCCGAAGCGGAUGAGAUUCCUCGAGAACCGACCGCCGGCGCGUUUCCUAGAGCUAGAGACCUCAGAUCAGGUAGGACCACCGCCUGAACUUAAGCAUAUCAAUAAGCGGAGGA
rnacentral:rRNA from 1 species